CUGACAAGAUUCGUUUUUUGAGUGGACUGGUGCACUGUGCAUCUAAAGAUGUUGAGCUCAAAAAGUAUUUGUAGAACAUUUCUUCUAAAAGGUUAGUCAUUUUAUCAAUAAGUUCAGGUUAAAACACCCAUAUACAAGCAGCAACAACAACAAUCAUCUCCGCACCAACAACAAGCUUAGGCACGACAACAACUUAACAGCUUAGCCACGACUACUACACCUUCAAAGCAUGAAUCAAAGUAAUAGCUUUUGGGAAUAUCCAAUCUUCGUAUAGAGAGUAGGUAUACCACCACCUCACCCGCGAAUGCCUCCUAUUUCUCCAUAUUCUCAGAUUCCUUUAACUAGUAUCAACAAAUGGGUAUGAAGAAUUUUAGUAGUCCGGCGCCAUCACAUUCACGAUCUUUAUCACAACCAACUGUUCUUUGUUGAAGAAAUUUUAUUCUGUAACAGGUUGAUCCACAAUUGAUACAACGUGAUUUAUAGUUGGAAACCAUCUAAUCAAUGUGUGUGGUUGCAUCCUUUGUUUUUGCGAAACUCGUGUUUCAUUUGUCGAGCAUUACGUUCCUAAUGUAAGGAUUCUCACACACCAAAUGGUUCUUUGAUACCCAAAUUUAGUGUAUAUUUUGAUGAUAUUUUUACUCAUGUCAUAUAGAGGAUAUGUAACAUUCAAUGCCUUAAUUUCACUUGACUAAGAACAGAACAACUUAUUAUGUUCGUUUUACUGUCCAGGCGCAGAAUGUAGUGUAUGAAGGGUACUUUAAUGGAGUUGAAGUCUCGUGAAAUUUCAAAAAUUAUGUAUUUGAUCAUCUUGUGAUUUUAUUAUUUGCCUAGCUUUUUUUCGUGGUCCGUGUCAUAUGUGCGUUAUAUGCAGGUUUCAUGGUUUUGUACCAAACAAUGUGAAUUAUCACCAUGUAAUAGAUGGAAAUACCCUGACCGAUGUUUACGCUAUCAAUCGCAGCGACUUGUGUGCUGUUUCAUUGUAUGUUCAGUUUUAAGGAAUUGGGAAAUUUUGGAAAGUCAGAGGCUUUGGUUGAAAUCAGAAUUCAAGAUGGGCAUUUUCUUUAUCCGGCUGCAACAACAAUACAUAGAGUAGAGUAGAGUGGAGUCCAAAACUCCACAAGGCUAAUUCACAUCCUCCUGUCUCAUCUCAUCAACAAUCAAGAUAACCGACUACACGAUGCAUCACACUUUCUUAUCUUGUGGAAAAAUUGUACAUUAUCUUGCAAAGUAUCAAAUUCAAGCUUAUGAAGAAGGCUUUUGAAGGUUGAUCAUUUGUAAGAGGGGCUAUCAAACAAG